GUCGCCCUCCACCCUCCGCCGGGAACAGCAGGUGCUGCCCGAGCCCUCCAGGGGGCAGGGUGGGCUUUCUCUCGGGGCCCCCAUCCCCCUGCCCAGCUUCCGGGCAAGAGAGGGCAGAUCCAAAGCUACCCCUGCAGCUGUUGGCCUCGCUAAGUUUCCUUUUUCCAGGGCAGCCCCCGAAACGAAACCUUGGUGUGGCUUGGGUGCCAGAGCUUCUCAGAAAAGGGAAGUGAUCCCUGGCAGGACCUGGGGGCCCCACCCAACCUUCCGGGCACCCAGGCCCUGGCCGGCGGGAAUCCCCUGCACCGGUGAAGGCAGCACAGAAACGAAACGCACAGGGGGCCGGCUGGGCAGCUCCCCAGGGGCCUGGACAGGCAGAGGCUGAGGGGCUGUCACCGGCCACAUGAGCGCUGUGGCUGGGAGGGGACACCCAGGUCUGUGGGCGCUGGCACCCCACAGGGCCCGGGGUGGGGCAGGGGUCCUCUAGGGGGACCUCUGGGGGGCACUGUGCGAGUGCAGGGGUGUGGCGGGGGCCGAGGCCGCAGGCAGGAGGCAGGAGGGAGGGUGGCAGCCAGGCCUGGAGCCGGCCCACGGAGCAGGGGGAUGGAUGGAGCUCGCCAGACCCCGGGGGUCCCUGGCCCUCCGCCGAGGCUGAGGGGGCGCAGUGCCCAAGCCGCCCGCGGGCCCCGGGCCUUCUCAGUGGGUCUCGCCCCUCUCCAGAGGCCUCCGACUGUGGCGGGCUCUGCCCGAGCCUCCAGCACAUGACUUCCAGGCUGGCCGGCUUUCCAGGCAGCCUUGGCAAAACCCCGAGCUUCAGUUACACAAUCGACACCCCCACCCUCCAGCCCCCAAGGGUUCCCGGCAGUCGGCCUGUCCCGGCAGGGUGGGGGCAGGGCCCUGCUCCUGGCUUGGUCCCUGCAAGGAAUCCCUUCCCAGGGGCCAGAUCCCACAUGCUGGCCCGGGUGGGGUCCUUUCCUGGACGAAUGAGUAAGGCGCCUCUUUGGGGCCAGGUCACCCACGCGCAGCAUCGAAUGAGCCAGAGACUGGCCUUUUGGGGACAUUUCGUGUAACGGAAGCGACACCUCGCAGUGUGUGGUGCUGGGCGGCCUUUGCUGAGCGGCCGCGGUUUGAGUCCGUCUGUGAUGGACGUGUCGGGAGUUGGGUCCCUGCAAAUACUGCAUCGUGGGGAACGCGGCACUUUGCUCAUCUGCUCACCAGGUGAUGGGUCUUUGGGUUCUUCCGCACUUGGGCUGCUGGAGCAUCGGCGCCCGUGUCUCUGCGUGCACGCGCGCUGUCACUUCUCUUAGGCAGAUACCAGAUGUGGAACCCGCUGGGUCACGUGGGAAACUUACGUGGAACUUUUGAAGACGUUGGCUCUGCGUUUGGCAUUCUCACCAGCAGUGUGGGUGGGUCUCGACGUGCCCACAUCCCUGGCAAGACUUGCGAUCAUCUUCCGUUUUGACCACAGCCAUCCGAGUGGGCGUGAGUGGCCUGGCAUUUGGUGCCGAGUCUUUGCCGAAUCACGAAUGGUAUUGAGCAUCUCGAAUUUGAUCAGAUGUUUUACCAAAGAAUAUAGCCAACUUCCCCUCUCCUCUUUUGGUUAAGUGUCUUUUUUU
rnacentral:lncRNA from 1 species